rnacentral:rRNA from 1 species
AGGUACUGUAAGCUUGCUUACAGCCAUACUGUCCUGAGCACGCCCGAUCUCGUCUGAUCUCGGAAGCUAAGCAGGACAAGGCCU